rnacentral:rRNA from 1 species
CAACACGACCGUACCUCAAACCGACACUGGUGCGCGAGAUGAGUAUUCUAAGGCGCUUGAGAGAACUCAGGAGAAGGAAUUCGGCAAAUUGACACCGUAACUUCGGAAGAAGGUGUGCCUUUAGUAGGUGAACCAUUUACUUGGGGAGCCCAAUGAGGCUGCAAAAAAUCGGUGGCUGCAACUGUUUAUUAAAAACACAGCACUCUGCUAAGACGAAAGUCGACGUAUAGGGUGUGACGCCUGCCCGGUGCUGGAAGAUUAAAUGAUGGGGUGCAAGCUCUUGAUUGAAGUCCCAGUAAACGGCGGCCGUAACGAUAACGGUCCUAAGGUAGCGAAAUUCCUUGUCGGGUAAGUUCCGACCUGCACGAAUGGCGUAAUGAUGGCCACACUGUCUCCUCCUGAGACUCAGCGAAGUUGAAAUGUUUGUGAUGAUGCAAUCUCCCCGCGGAAAGACGGAAAGACCCCAUGAACCUUUACUGUAGCUUUGUAUUGGACUUUGAACAGAUCUGUGUAGGAUAGGUGGGAGGCUUUGAAGUGUGGUCGCUAGAUCGCAUGGAGCCAACGUUGAAAUACCACCCUGGUGUGUUUGAGGUUCUAACUUAGGUCCACUAUCUGGAUCGGGGACAGUGCAUGGUAGGCAGUUUGACUGGGGCGGUCUCCUCCCAAAGUGUAACGGAGGAGUUCGAAGGUACGCUAGGUACGGUCGGACAUCGUGCUAAUAGUGCAAUGGCAUAAGCGUGCUUAACUGCGAGACUGACAAGUCGAGCAGAUGCGAAAGCAGGACAUAGUGAUCCGGUGGUUCUGUAUGGAAGGGCCAUCGCUCAACGGAUAAAAGGUACUCUGGGGAUAACAGGCUGAUACCGCCCAAGAGUUCAUAUCGACGGCGGUGUUUGGCACCUCGAUGUCGGCUCAUCUCAUCCUGGGGCUGUAGCCGGUCCCAAGGGUAUGGCUGUUCGCCAUUUAAAGAGGUACGUGAGCUGGGUUUAAAACGUCGUGAGACAGUUUGGUCCCUAUCUUCCGUGGGCGCUGCAGAUUUGAGGAAGCCUGCUCCUAGUACGAGAGGACCGGAGUGGACGAACCUCUGGUGUAUCGGUUGUCACGCCAGUGGCAUUGCCGAGUAGCUAAGUUCGGAAGAGAUAACCGCUGAAAGCAUCUAAGCGGGAAACUCGUUUCAAGAUUAGAUCUGCCGGGGCCUUGAGCCCCCUAAAGAGUCGUUCAAGACCAGGACGUUGAUAGGUCAGGUGUGGAAGCGG